UUGUCCUUUUUAAAGUCAGAUUUCCCUAAUGAAAAAUUCUACACCUAUUGGGAGUUAGAUAUCCCAGAGAAAAGAAGAAGAAUUCAAUAAGAAGAGGAAGAACAAGUCCUCAUGUGAAUCGACCAAGAAAGAGCUCUUCUUGCCAAAUUCAUCCUCACCUCAUAUACUCCAACACCGCAAGCUUGAAGAGUUUUCCAACAAGAGUUCCUCUUAAUAAAUUAAUAAAUAAAAGAACAAUUCGGGUUACAUGAGGAAAGCCAAGUUCAGGUGGGACACCCCUUUGGCCAAAGAGAGAAGACUUAUUAUUUUAAU
rnacentral:lncRNA from 1 species